CCUACGGGAGGCUGCAGUGAGGAAUAUUGGUCAAUGGGCGGGAGCCUGAACCAGCCAAGCCGCGUGAGGGAAGAAGGUACAGUGUAUCGUAAACCUCUUUUGUCAGGGAACAAAGGCGGGGACUAGUCCCCGGAUGAGGGUACCUGAAGAAAAAGCAUCGGCUAACUCCGUGCCAGCAGCCGCGGUAAUACGGAGGAUGCGAGCGUUAUCCGGAUUUAUUGGGUUUAAAGGGUGCGCAGGCGGCCUGUUAAGUCAGAGGGAAAAGCCCGGGGCUCAACCCCGGCUAGCCGUUGAAACUGGGUGUCUUGAGUUGGGGAGAGGUACGCGGAAUGCGCGGUGUAGCGGUGAAAUGCUUAGAUAUCGCGCAGAACCCCGAUUGCGAAGGCAGCGUACCGGCUCCACACUGACGCUGAGGCACGAAAGCGUGGGUAUCGAACAGGAUUAGAUACCCUGGUAGUC
rnacentral:rRNA from 1 species